rnacentral:rRNA from 1 species
AGAAGUGAAGCUUGCUUCACGAGUACAGUGGCAGACGGGUGAGUAACACGUGAACAACCUACCCUCGAGUGGGGAAUAACACCGCGAAAGCGGUGCUAAUACCGCAUAAUAUCUCUGAAUCGCAUGGUUUUGAGAUCAAAAGCUUCGGUUGCUUGAGGAGGGGUUCGCGCCUGAUUAGCUUGUUGGUGAGGUAACGGCUCACCAAGGCUGCAAUCAGUAGCCGGCCUGAGAGGGCGAACGGCCACACUGGAACUGAGACACGGUCCAGACUCCUACGGAUGGCAGCAGUAGGGAAUAUUGCCCAAUGGACGAAAGUCUGAGGCAGCAACGCCGCGUGUGCGAAGAAGGUCUUCGGAUUGUAAAGCACUUUUGACAGGGAAGAGGAAGGACAGUACCUGUAGAAUAAGCCUCGGCUAACUACGUGCCAGCAGCCGCGGUAACACGUAGGAGGCAAGCGUUAUCCGGAUUUACUGGGCGUAAAGCGCGUGCAGGCGGGCAUGUAAGUUGGAUGUGAAAUCUCCUGGCUUAACUGGGAGAGGUCGUCCAAAACUGCGUGUCUGGAGUGUGAGAGAGGGAGGCAGAAUUCCGAGUGUAGUGGUGAAAUGCGUAGAUAUUCGGAGGAAUACCAGAGGCGAAGGCGGCCUCCUGGCUCACAACUGACGCUGAGACGCGAAAGCUAGGGUA